ensembl:misc_RNA Metazoa_SRP Metazoan signal recognition particle RNA
GCCGGGCGUGGUGGUGCGUGCCUGUAGUCCCAGCUACUCGGAGGCUGAGGCAGGAGAAUGGCGUGAACCCAGGAGGCGGAGCUUGCAGUGAGCUGAGAUGGUGCCACUGCACUCCAGCCUGGGUGACAAAGCAAGACUCUGUCUCAA